rnacentral:rRNA from 1 species
CUGUAAGCCUGUGAAGGUGUGCUGUGAGGCAUGCUGGAGGUAUCAGAAGUGCGAAUGCUGACAUAAGUAACGAUAAAGCGGGUGAAAAGCCCGCUCGCCGGAAGACCAAGGGUUCCUGUCCAACGUUAAUCGGGGCAGGGUGAGUCGACCCCUAAGGCGAGGCCGAAAGGCGUAGUCGAUGGGAAACAGGUUAAUAUUCCUGUACUUGGUGUUACUGCGAAGGGGGGACGGAGAAGGCUAUGUUGGCCGGGCGACGGUUGUCCCGGUUUAAGCGUGUAGGCUGGUUUUCCAGGCAAAUCCGGAAAAUCAAGGCUGAGGCGUGAUGACGAGGCACUACGGUGCUGAAGCAACAAAUGCCCUGCUUCCAGGAA